rnacentral:rRNA from 1 species
AUUGAACGCUGGCGGCAUGCCUUACACAUGCAAGUCGAACGGCAGCACGGACUUCGGUCUGGUGGCGAGUGGCGAACGGGUGAGUAAUGUAUCGGAACGUACCCUUCAGUGGGGGAUAACUAUCCGAAAGGAUAGCUAAUACCGCAUAUUCUCUGAGGAGGAAAGCGGGGGAUCGCAAGACCUCGCGCUGAUGGAGCGGCCGAUAUCAGAUUAGCUAGUUGGGGGGGUAAAGGCCUACCAAGGCGACGAUCUGUAGCGGGUCUGAGAGGCUGACCCGCAGAACUGGAGCUGGGACACGGCCCAGGUUCCUACGGGAGGCAGCAGUGGGGAAGUUGGGACAAUGGGGGCAACCCUGAUCCAGCCAUGCCGCGUGAGUGAAGAAGGCCUUCGGGUUGUAAAGCGCUUUCGGCCGGGAAGAAAUCGCGUGAGUUAAUACCUUGCGUGGAUGACGGUACCAGAAUAAGAAGCACCGGCUAACUACGUGCCAGCCGCCGCGGUAA